UAAAUAUCGGGACUGUCCCACUAAAAGCAGGACGGUUGGGAGAUCUGAAUCAGACCGAAUGCAGAUGAGUAAAAUGGUCAAAUGAUACAACGGAUUUGCCACCUUUGACUAGCACUGCCGUCAAAUAAUGAAUUAUAUUAUGCUUCUGUCUAUUGGAGACUUUGCAUGGAGACUGAUGGGGAUCAAGACCAAUGAAUUGGCCAUUGUAACAUAUUCAGGAACCAGUGUGCUAACUGUGGUCCCAUUUUCAUACUAGAAAGGACUUAGCAACAUUGGAAGACCAACUCCUGACGAAGCCUUGUGGUGAUGCGUGUGGAGGAUGACAUCUCCCUAAGCCAAUGCCCUUUACCUUUAGACUGCCUUUUUCCUUCAUGAACUGGUAUUUAUGUGGCACAUAAUUUGGGACUGUUUAGUUUAUACUUUGUUUAGUGUAUGGUUGACAUGCGGAUGCAACCGUGUGUCUGUAAACCAAUCCGGUUCUGAUCCUGGUAUGGGGUAUUGAGCACUUUAGGGCAACUGGCUUCACAAUUGUCUUUAGGGGAGAUUCCUGUGGGAUGGUUUUAGAUGAUUUUAAUCAAAUCUGUAUUUUUAAUUAUAAUAAAUAUUGAGGUUUUAUUAUUCAAAUGUGAAUAUGCAUUUAUACAGGGUCUAGGAUCUGCAAGCUUAUGCAGAGUGCUUCUAUUAUAUUUAUGCUUCUGUUGUGUGACUUAUUGCACUUGAUUGCCUUAGAAUGAAUAUUUGAGCAAGUAUUAACAUUAAAUGGCCUUUGCAUUUG